rnacentral:rRNA from 1 species
CCUGCCCACUGAAUUAUUAAAGGGCCGCGGUAUUUGGACCGUGCUAAGGUAGCAUAAUCAAUAGUCUUUUAAUUGGAGUCUAGUAUGAACGGUCGGAUGGAAUAUGAUUUGUCUUCGAGUGUAAAUAUUGAAUUUUACUUUUGAGUGAAAAGGCUUAAAUUGUGUAGGGGGACGAUAAGACCCUGUGAAGCUUUAUUUUUGCUUUGAUUUUAGGGCUCAAUAAUUGUGUAGUUGGGUUUAAGUUUAGCAGAUAUUUGGUUGGGGCGACUGGAAUAUAUUUGUAACUGUUUUUGUUAGUAAAAUAAGUGAUUUUUAGGGUAUUGAUCCUGUGUUGUGGAUUAUAAGAUUUAAGUUACUCCAAGGAUAACAGCGUAAUUUUUCUUGAGAGUUCUUAUCGACAGAAUAUUUGCGACCUCGAUGUUGAAUUAAGGUUUCAUCAAGAUGCAGAAGUCUUGCUUGUAGGUCUGU